UUCCAAAUUCUAAAAAUUUUACAAUUUUUUCCCUCUCUUACAAUCACCCUUUUCCCUCAAUUUUUCAAAAUCUAAAAAUUUUACAAAUUUCAUUCAAAAUUUAUCAAUAAUCUUGGUUCUUAUUCCAAGUUCUCUCAAAGGUGAACCCUAGGAGGGUUUCUUCUCCUUCGUUGCCGCACCUUCUCCAGAGAUAUACGAAGCCUUUCGAGCUCUCACUGAUAUACAAAGCCCAAGUCUGACUCGCUCACUCUCAGUUCAGUGCCUCCCCUUGCCUCAACUCUCGUUCACUCUCAGCUCAAUUCGUCAUUCACUGUUGUUGGCUUCACCCAUUUUGCUCGAGUCCCUUCUCACCAUCACUCUCCAUCGCCGGCAGUCCAUGCCAUCGUCUCGCCAUGAGUCCCUUUCGUAAUCACUCCCUUUGGCUCUCAUUCGCUCUCGCUUGCUUCUGUCCAUAAUCCCCCUCGGCGUCACUCCAUCUGGUAAUAGCUUCUCUCAUGGUUCAUUCAUAAAACCCUAAAAUUGAAAGAUUAGAAAACCCUAAUUUAAGAUAUUUUCGGUGAAAUGUUUUUUUUUUCUCAUUAUGUUUUUGUUGGAGUUUUCUUUAAAACCGUGGAAAAUAGGGUAAUGUGAGUAAAGCCCAUGAAAAAUUUACUCACUCACACUCGUCAAUGGUGAGGCUUAGGACGGGCAUUGAUUCGGCGUUCUGGGACCUCAACAUGACCUCGCCGUAGUGCCACGACGAUUGGGCCAAGUUCGUUCCCGGAGACCAUUUUCCGGUGGAAGCCUCCGUUGCCAGCAAAGUGCUCCGCCCCCAGCAAUUUUCCUUCCUCUGAAACAAGCUCCCUUUUCCCAUUGUCGCUCCCUUGCUCUCUCUCACUUUCCCCCGAGGGUUUGGGCUCCUUCGGUCUCCAGGCCCUUCUCCUCAAACUCUCCUCUUUUCGUUGGAAAAACUAGAAAUAGCUAAGAAGGAUUGAGAAGCAAUUGGUGCUGUCAAAGGAUUUGUAAGACCAUAUUCUCUUAGUUCCAGAGAAGGAGUUUUUGAAGGCUUUCAAGACUUAUCCAGGUCUAAAGAUUAGAAUAAACGACUUCCAUCGUGAUAUGAAUAUCUUUAUAUUUCUUCUAGUUUAGUAUGUUCAAUAUUACUACUAGAACCGAAUUAUUGAAGAUAUUAGUUUGAUUAAUUUUAUUGUAUGCAUAUAUAUAUUAGAAUCGCUGCAA